CUCCUCACGGCCCUGUCUCCCAACCCUCGUACCAGUGUUGCACAAUAGACACUGGUACAGGAUUGGGGGCUCAGGGACCUGGGGAC
rnacentral:pre_miRNA from 13 species